rnacentral:rRNA from 1 species
CUACGGGAGGCAGCAGUGGGGAAUCUUAGACAAUGGGCGCAAGCCUGAUCUAGCCAUGCCGCGUGAGUGAUGAAGGCCUUAGGGUCGUAAAGCUCUUUCGCCUGUGAUGAUAAUGACAGUAGCAGGUAAAGAAACCCCGGCUAACUCCGUGCCAGCAGCCGCGGUAAUACGGAGGGGGUUAGCGUUGUUCGGAAUUACUGGGCGUAAAGCGCACGUAGGCGGAUCAGAAAGUUAGGGGUGAAAUCCCGGGGCUCAACCCCGGAACUGCCUCCAAAACUGCUAGUCUAGAGUUCGAGAGAGGUGAGUGGAAUUCCGAGUGUAGAGGUGAAAUUCGUAGAUAUUCGGAGGAACACCAGUGGCGAAGGCGGCUCACUGGCUCGAUACUGACGCUGAGGUGCGAAAGUGUGGGGAGCAAACAGGAUUAGAUACCCUGGUAGUCCACACCGUAAACGAUGAAUGCCAGUCGUCGGGUAGUAUACUAUUCGGUGACACACCUAACGGAUUAAGCAUUCCGCCUGGGGAGUACGGUCGCAAGAUUAAAACUCAAAGGAAUUGACGGA